GACGAACGCUGGCGGCGUGCCUAAUACAUGCAAGUCGAACGCUUUUUCUUUCACCGGAGCUUGCUCCACCGAAAGAAAAAGAGUGGCGAACGGGUGAGUAACACGUGGGUAACCUGCCCGUCAGAAGGGGAUAACACUUGGAAACAGGUGCUAAUACCGUAUAACACUAUUUUCCGCAUGGAAGAAAGUUGAAAGGCGCUUUUGCGUCACUGAUGGAUGGACCCGCGGUGCAUUAGCUAGUUGGUGAGGUAACGGCUCACCAAGGCAACGAUGCAUAGCCGACCUGAGAGGGUGAUCGGCCACACUGGGACUGAGACACGGCCCAGACUCCUACGGGAGGCAGCAGUAGGGAAUCUUCGGCAAUGGACGAAAGUCUGACCGAGCAAACGCCGCGUGAGUGAAGAAGGUUUUCGGAUCGUAAAACU
rnacentral:rRNA from 1 species